rnacentral:tRNA from 1 species
GGAGGGAUGGCCGAGCGGACGAAGGCAGCAGUCUUGAAAACUGCCGGGCCCCUCGCGGGUCCCGUGGGUUCGAAUCCCACUCCCUCCG